rnacentral:rRNA from 1 species
UGGUGGAGUGAUUUGUCUGGUUAAUUCCGUUAACGAACGAGACCUUAGCCUGCUAAAUAGUUGCAGGAAACCUUGGUUUCUUGACAACUUCUUAGAGGGACUUCGUGUGUUUAACACGAGGAAGUUUGAGGCAAUAACA